CCAGGGUGAGUGCUCCUGGGGUGACUGCUCCUGGGGCUCCUGGGGUACCUGCUCCUGGUGUAAGUGCUCCUGGAGUGAGUGCUCCUGGGGUGAGUGCUCCGAGGGUGAGUGCUCCUGGGGUACGUGCUGUUGGUCUAGGAGCCCAGUGUUUGCCACACCCCUUCCUCGUGGAGAAAGCAGAAGCCUUGGAGAAGGCUCUGAAGAAGCUGUGGGUGUUCAGGAGGAGAGAAGUGGGCAAAUCCAUUCACCCCAGGGAAGGGACAGGGAACCCGGCAGGUACAACAUACCCAGGUCAGUGUGGUCACACCACAGCACAAAAACCACACACAACACACAACACACACCACAAAACCACACAUGCACCACACAACACACAACACACACACACCACAAAACCACACACACACCACACACAGCACAAAACCACACACAUCACACAACACACGCCACACACACCACAAAACCACACACACAUCACAAAACCACACACACACCACACACCACACACAUACCACACACAGCACAAAACCACACAUACCACACAACACACACAUGCCAUACACACUACAAAACCACACACACCACACAACACAAACAUGCCACACACACUACAAAACCACACACAUCAUACAACACACACCACAAAACCAUACACACACCACAUACCCAUACCACACACAGCACAAAAACCACAUACAUACCACAAAACCACACACACCACACACACACCACACACAGCACAAAACCACACAUACCACACAAAACACACAUGCUACACACACUACAAAACCACACAUGCCACACAACACACAUGCCACACACACUACAAAACCACAUGCACCACACAACACACACCACAAAACCACACACACAACACACACCACACACAUACCACACACAGCACAAAAACCACAUACAUAACACAACACCACACACCACACACAGCAAACCACACACACAUCACACACCACACACACCACAAAACCACACAUACCACACAACACACACACACCACAAAACCACACACCACAACCCCCAACACACCACACACACAAAACCACACACACCACAAACCCCCCACACACACUACACACACCACAAAGCCACACACACAACACACCACACACACCACAAAACCAAACACACACCACACAUCACACACCCACAAACACAAAACCAC
rnacentral:lncRNA from 13 species